rnacentral:rRNA from 1 species
CCCCUAGAUGUUCUGGGCCGCACGCGCGCUACACUGAACAGUUCAACGAGUCUUAACCUUGGCCGAUAGGUCUGGGUAAUCUUUGAACGCUGUUCGUGAUUGGGAUAGACCUUUGCAAUUAUGGGUCUUCAACGAGGAAUUCCUAGUAAACGCAAGUCAUCAGCUUGCAUUGAUUACGUCCCUGCCCUUUGUACACACCGCCCGUCGCACCUACCGAUUGAAUGGUCCGGUGAAAUCUCGGGACGGCGGCUUGGUCGCUUGCGUCCGACUGCUGAAACUUGAUUAAACCAUNUNAUUUAGNGGAAGGUGAANUCGUANCA